GAGCUCGCUUCUGCGGCACAUAUACUAAAAUUGGGACAACAGAGAAGAUUAGCAUGGCCCCUGUGCAAGGAUGACAUGCAAAUUCAUGAAGUGUUCCAUAUUUUU